UUUCCGUAGGUGAACCUGCGGAAGGAUCAUUAUCAUCCUGAAUGUUUGAGAGAGAGUCACACUCCUCUCUAUCAUUUCUACACCAACCGCGAACUGUUUUUCCUCCGAUUCAGGGAGAGAUCUCUCAGUUGUUUUUCGUCACUUCUUCCCUUUGAACAUAGGAGUAGAGAGGAUUGUGAUGGGGCUCUGAGAGAAGCAAGCGAACAGCACACUCUGCUGUCAUCCUCGGUAUUGCUGUUUUGGUUGUAUUUUUUUCUCCACCUCCUUUUCUUUAAACAUUUGAACAAAACCAUUAUCAUGUCGUUUGACCUGAUGUUAAUUUUCUACUCUACUUCGAAGCGGAAAAACUAAAACAACUAUAUACGAAACAAAGAGAACAACUCUCAGCAACGGAUAUCUUGGCUCUC
rnacentral:misc_RNA from 1 species